UUUUCUGGGUAAUAUGUCUUUAUAUAACCAGAUUACAAAAACAGAAGGAAGUUUAUUAGUUUCUUCCAGCUGAAAAAUUUGAAAAUCUAUGGUUAAAUUCAUCCCAUUAGGAGUUAACUUUCUUUUUGGAAAAUGUUUUUUAGGAAUAUUUCCUUGAGAGAUCAAGCCGUGAAUGAGAGGUUCUUUGACCUCACAGCAAGAAAAUAUACUUUUUGAAAUUUCCGUUAAGAGCAAUCUGAAAGUGUGCCCCAUGCCAACUCUUCAGUCUCAUCUGCACAUUUCUUCUGAGAAAUUCACUUGCUACAGAUCAAAAAGUGUGAACUCGUGGUUUCACAUCCCUGCUAUUGAAAAUCUACAUACAAUCCACUUCUGUGUUUCAUCACCUAGAACUUGUCCUGCCAAAUAGCAGGUGUUCAAAAGUGCGUGCAUGAAUGGAAUUCUGAAAGCUUUGGAUAAGAUGUACUCCCUCCACUGCUCAUGGGCCUUUGAGACCCAAACAACAUGAACUAGUAGUCGUAGCUUCCCCACCAGGAGAUGAGGAUUAACAAAGCUUUGCUUUGGUGAAAGAGUAUUCAACAUUUGGUUAAUUCUCUUGCAUU